rnacentral:rRNA from 1 species
GAUGAACGCUAGCGAUAGGCUUAACACAUGCAAGUCGAGGGGCAGCAUGGUCUUAGCUUGCUAAGACUGAUGGCGACCGGCGCACGGGUGCGUACGCGUAUGCAACUUGCCUCACAGAGGGGGAUAACCCGUCGAAAGACGGACUAAUACCGCGUACACUUGGGAUAGGGCAUCCUGACCCAAGGAAAUGAAAUUCGCUGUGAGAUAGGCAUGCGUCCCAUUAGCUAGUUGGUGAGGUAACGGCUCACCAAGGCGACGAUGGGUAGGGGAACUGAGAGGUUGAACCCCCACACUGGUACUGAGACACGGACCAGACUCCUACGGGAGGCAGCAGUGAGGAAUAUUGGUCAAUGGGCGAGAGCCUGAACCAGCCAAGUCGCGUGAAGGAUGACUGUCUUAUGGAUUGUAAACUUCUUUUAUACGGGAAUAACAAGAGUCACGUGUGGCUCCCUGCAUGUACCGUAUGAAUAAGCAUCGGCUAACUCCGUG